CUAGAGAACCCUGACUAAUACAAGGGGUCAGGCACAAGUACGCAUGUGGAAGUGGGGGCUAGGGCUCAAGGCUAUAUGCAGGGAACUUGCAAGCUAUGGAAUUCCUGCUCUGUGCUGAGCAGUGCUGGCCUGGAAGAUGGGAAGGAGAUGGAGUCAAAAUGAAACUGUCCUUCUUAGCCUUUUUGUGAAGUAAUUUUGGGAUUAUUUCUUCCACCGUAACUGCUUAAGUGGACUCUGGGGUUUUUCCAGAGUUAUUUGUGUUUGUGAAUAGCUAUUUAAUUGUUCUUUGUCAGAAGAAUGAAGGCUGAGACCUCCUUCUCCACCAUCUUGCUGACAUUACUCUGCUUCCAGGUUUAUCCUUGAUACUCAAGAUAAUGUUGGUGAAAGCUCUAAAGUGCUCUAUACAUUCUAGCCAUUGUUAUUUACCCCCAAAGUUGUAUUUUUUGAUGCCACAAUUUUAAAUAACAUAUUUAAAGCACUUAAAUUUUUGUAAAAAUAAUAAAAUCACUAUGACACCAAAAA
rnacentral:lncRNA from 1 species